GAGUGAGACUCUGUCUCAAAAAAAAAAAAGAAAAAAGACCAAAAACUCCAUGAAACUACCAUUCAAUAAAUAAUCAAUAAAUAAGAUGCAAUUUCUCGAAGCUCAGUUUACAAAUAAGGAAAUUUAAUAAAUGGUUGAAGAUACCCCCGACUGAACCCACAUGUUCUCUGAGUAGACUCAUGGAAUUCUAAAGAGUUGGUUGCUUGGAGACUGAUAGAAACAGCUUUGGAACCUAAGAAACCAAGGAAGGCUUAAGAUGCAGAACCUUGCUUCUCUCUGAGGACUGCCUUGUAGGAGGCCAUUUGGAAAGUAAUUUUGAAACACUGCUCCUUUGCCAGUAUCUGAAAGGUGCUGGAUGGUGUCAGCUGGAAGAUGAGAGGCAACCUAAGAACCCAGAAUACAGACACCAGAGCAACACUCUCAAGUCAUACUUUUGACUACAAUUAAGAGAUGAAAAUGGACGGAUAUCUGAAGAUAGUUAUUCCCUCUGCUCUGAAGGUGAGCAACAUUUUAACAUGUGAGCAACACAGAACUCCACUCCUCUGGAGCUUCUUUCAACUCAGAAUGCUUCAGUUCAACGCUAAUGUAGGAGAUGCCCACGGCCAUACACCACACCACGAGGCUCGCGAUGUCCGAGAAGCUGGGUUCCUGCUCCACCUGGGUGAUCACCAGGCCCAUAUGCACAGGCAGCUUCUCCAAGGAACGGCCGUCCGCGCGCCAGCGCAUCCGGUGGUGGGCGGCUGCCAGGCACGACCCCCCGCGCGGGUGCCGGUGGUGACGGCGGUUCCUGCCAACUGCCCGGGGCUGGCGGAGCGUGAAGCCGAGAGGCGCUAGGACCGCGGCAGAGGCGGCGCGGCAGCAGCGCCGCCAGAUCCAGUUCCAGGUGCCGAACCCAACGCGGAGCCAGGAGGUGAGCGUGCGGUGCAGAUAGAGCAGCGCGUGCAGCACCCACCACACCAGCUCGUACAGCCUCGUCAUACUCUUAUGGCCCUCGGGCACCCCUUUCCCUCCCACCCACUCCCGCGGCGCGACGGCUUUUUAUCCGCCCCUGCGGCCGGCGCGGGCCAUCGUUCCGCGUUCCCCCGCCCCCCGAGCCCGAACCCCUUUCCACUGCCAACACCUCACCUCGCUCCCGCCGCCAUCUUCCUCCUCCCUUGGCAGCCCCGCCCCCAGUCCCCUCUACAUUCUUUUAAAGGCCAGUAACUUCAACUUGCCCUUCUGAGGCUAUUUUCUAGUUCUUGUAGGCAUGCUUCCUUUUUUAUUCUUUUUUUCCUUUUACUCCUUGGACUGUAUAUUUCCUUUUUAUUUUUAUUUAUUUAUUUAUUUUUGAGAAGUUUUGCCCUUGUCGCCCAGGCUGGAGUGCAGUGGCACUAUCUCGGCUCACUGCAACCUCUGCCUCCCGGGUUCAAACUGUUCUCCUGCCUCAGCCUCCCGAGUAGCUGGGACUACAGGCGCCCGCCACCACACUCGGCUAAUUUUUUGUACUAUUUAGUAGAGACGGGGUUUCACCAUGUUAGCCAGGAUGGUCUCGAUCUCCUGACCUCGUGAUCCGCCCGUCUCGGCCUCCCAAAGUGCUGGAUUACAGGCUUGAGCCGCCGUGCCCGGUGGGAACACAGACAAUUUUUAGGGCAGUGAAACUAUUCUAUGUGAUACUGUAAUGGUGGACACAUGUCAUUAUACAUUUGUCCAAAACUAUAGAUGUAGAACAAACACCAAGAGUGAACCCUAAAGCAAACUAGAGAUUUGGGGUGAUAAUGAUAUGUCAGUGACGGUUAAUUGUAACCGAUGUACCAUUCUGGUGGGGGAUGUUGAUAGUGGAGGUAAGGGAACUAUGCAUGUUUUGGGGGCACAGGGAGUAUAUGGGAAAUCUCUGUACCUUCUGCUCAAUUUUGCUAUGAAACUAAAACUGCUUUAAAAUAUAAGACUUAAAAAAAAAAAAUAAGUAAACCACCCAGAUAGCUCAGUUGGUACAGCAUCAGACUUUUAAUCUGAGGGUCCAGGGUUCAUGUCCCUGUUCCUUAAUUUUUUCUUAACUUUUUAAUUAAAUUAAACACAAAAAAGAAAAGUAAAUGUAUUGGAUGGAAAAUCAAGAGUGGGUCUGGCUUAACAUUUGAUUGAUCCAAUGGCUAAAUGAUGACACCAGGAACCUCUGCUUUCUGUCUUCUCUGCCAUAAUAACAUCAUAAGGUGGCUGUCAGCGUAAUUGGGGCCUCAUCCUUUUUUGCUUAUAUUGAGUAGGAGGGAGAAGAUUCAGAUUUCUAAGAAAGGUCUAAGUCACAUAUUUUCUCCUGUCAUGGAAUGUUGAAAUUGGCUUAAACCAAAUGGAGAUUGCCACCAUUGCCCCUGGGAUCAGGGUGGAGUUAGCAUUUCCUGGAAUCCAUAGCUGCAGGGGGAGGGGCAAUGAAAUCAGGAAUUCUCCGAAAAAGUGUAAUAUAUGCUGAGCAGGUACCUGACACUAUGAGUGUAAUGGAGGAAGUUCUCAUGACGGUACUGAUGGCUUUUUGAAAUGUAGGGCAAGAAAGGACACUUUGAAAAUUUAGAGAGAUAGGCCGGGCUCGGUGGCUCACGCCUGUAAUCCCAGCACCUUGGGAGGCUGAAGCUAGCGGGUCACUUGAGGUCAGGAGUUCAAGACCCGCCCGGCCAACAUGGUGAAACCCCGUCUCUACUAAAAAUACAAAAAUUAGCCGGCGUGGUGGUAUGCACCUGUAAUCCCAGCUACUCGAGAGGCUGAGGCAGGAGAAUCACUUGAACCCAGGAGGCAUAGGUUGCAGUGAGCCGAGAUCGCGCCAUUGCCCUCCAGCCUGGGCGACAAGAAUGAAACUCCAUCUCAAAAAAAAAAAAAAAAAAAAAAAAAAAAAAUUAGAGAAAUAAAAUAUGGGUCUAAUAGGAGUUAUGAUUAUUUUUGGGGCAAAUUAAAGAAUUUGGAAGUUGGAGACUGACUUUGAGAAGAUUGGGGCGUAUUUAGAUUUGAACACAGAGUUUGACAUAAAAUAUGUGUUGGAAAACAAGAAAAAAUUUAAGCACAUUAGCAGUAUUUUGCUGCUAGAUAAUUCUCCCCCAGUUUAUCCUCAAUCCUCAAAAUCAAGUGGGAAUGGGAGGUCCUGUGGAAACAAGUCAGGGGAGAUAAGGUAAAUCCACUUGUGUUCCUAGCAGAAAUUUUACUGAUAAUCAGAAUAGUAAUAAGUAUUGAAAUAAAGCAAAAACAAGUGGAUGGGCCAGGUGCGGUGGCUCAUUCCUGUAAUCCUAGCACUUUGGGAGGCCAAGGCAGGCAGAUCACUUGAGGCCAGGAGUUUGAGACCAGCCUGGCCAAUGUGGCAAAACCCCAUCUCUACUAAAAAUGCAAAAAUUAGCCGGGUGUGAUGGCCCAUGCCUGUAGUCCCAGCAAUGUCCCGGGAAGCUACGGCAAGAGGAUUGCUUGAACCCAGGAGGCGGAGGUGGUGCUGAACCAAGAUGGCAUCACUACACUCCAGCUAGGGUGACAGAGCAAGACUCUGUCUCGAAAAAAAAAAGUGGAUGUUGCCAAAAGGGG
ensembl:lncRNA